AACGUACGCUGGCGGCACGCUUAACACAUGCAAGUCGAACGAAGUAGCAAUACUUAGUGGCAGACGGGUGAGUAACAUGUGGGUAUCUGCCCUUUGGCCUGGAAUAACACGAGGAAACUUGUGCUAAUACCGGAUAAGUCUUUACGGAGAAAGCUUUAUGCACCAUUGGAUGAGCCUGCACUUGAUUAGUUUGUUGGUGGGGUAAUGGCCUACCAAGACUGUGAUCAAUAGCCGAUUUGAGAGGAUGAUCAGCCACAUUGGGACUGAGACACGGCCCAAACUCCUACGGGAGGCAGCAGUGGGGAAUCUUGCACAAUGGAGGAAACUCUGAUGCAGCGAUGCCGCGUGAGUGAAGAAGGCCCUUGGGUUGUAAAGCUCUUUCGUCGGGGAAGAAAAUGACUGUACCCGAAUAAGAAGGUCCGGCUAACUUCGUGCCAGCAGCCGCGGUAAUACGAAGGGACCUAGCGUAGUUCGGAAUUACUGGGCUUAAAGAGUUCGUAGGUGGUUGAAAAAGUUAGUGGUGAAAUCCCAGAGCUUAACUCUGGAACUGCCAUUAAAACUUUUCAGCUAGAGUAUGAUAGAGGAAAGCAGAAUUUCUAGUGUAGAGGUGAAAUUCGUAGAUAUUAGAAAGAAUACCAAUUGCGAAGGCAGCUUUCUGGAUCAUUACUGACACUGAGGAACGAAAGCAUGGGUAGCGAAGAGGAUUAGAUACCCUCGUAGUCCAUGCCGUAAACGAUGUGUGUUAGACGUUGGAAAUUUAUUUUCAGUGUCGCAGCGAAAGCGAUAAACACACCGCCUGGGGAGUACGACCGCAAGGUUAAAACUCAAAUGAAUUGACGGGGACCCGCACAAGUAGUGGAGCAUGUGGUUUAAUUCGAAGAUACGCGCAGAACCUUACCAACACUUGACAUGUUCGUCGCGACUCUAAGAGAUUAGAGUUUUCGGUUCGGCCGGACGAAACACAGGUGCUGCAUGGCUGUCGUCAGCUCGUGUCGUGAGAUGUUGGGUUAAGUCCCGCAACGAGCGCAACCCUCACUUUUAGUUGCCAUCAUUAAGUUGGGCACUCUGAAAGAACUGCCAGUGAUAAGCUGGAGGAAGGUGGGGAUGACGUCAAGUCCUCAUGGCCCUUACGUGUUGGGCUACACACGUGCUACAAUGGUAUCUACAACAGGAAGCAAGACUGCGAGGUCAAGCAAAUCCUUAAAAGAUACCUCAGUUCGGAUUGCACUCUGCAACUCGAGUGCAUGAAGCUGGAAUUACUAGUAAUCGUGGAUCAGCGUGCCACGGUGAAUGCGUUCCCGGGUCU
rnacentral:rRNA from 1 species